AACGAACGCUGGCGGCGCGUCUUACACAUGCAAGUCGAACGGCAGGAAGGGGCUUGCCCCUUCUGAGAGUGGCGGACUGGUGAGUAACACGUGGGUGACAUACCUUUUAGUUGGGGAUAGCUAUUAGAAAUAGUAGGUAAUACCGAAUGUGACCGUACCUGUUAGAGGGGUACGAGGAAAGGAGCUAAGGCUUCGCUAAAAGAAUGGCUCGCGGCCCAUUAUGCUCGUUGGUGAGGUAACGGCCCACCAAGGCGAUGAUGGGUAUCCGGCCUGAGAGGGUGAACGGACACAUUGGGACUGAGAUACGGCCCAGACUUCUACGGGAGGCAGCAGUUAAGAAUAUUCCGCAAUGGACGAAAGUCUGACGGAGCGACGCCGCGUGGAUGAAGAAUGCCGAAAGGUUGUAAAAUCCUUUUAAGCCUGAUGAAUAAGCACAGUAGGGAAUGAUUGUGUGGUGACCGUAGGGCUUGAAUAAGCACCGGCUAAUUAUGUG
rnacentral:rRNA from 1 species